rnacentral:rRNA from 1 species
UGGGGAAUUUUGGACAAUGGGGGAAACCCUGAUCCAGCCAUCCCGCGUGUGCGAUGAAGGCCUUCGGGUUGUAAAGCACUUUCGGCAGGAAAGAAACGUCGCGGGUUAAUACCCCGCGAAACUGACGGUACCUGCAGAAUAAGCACCGGCUAACUACGUGCCAGCAGCCGCGGUAAUACGUAGGGUGCAAGCGUUAAUCGGAAUUACUGGGCGUAAAGCGUGCGCAGGCGGUUCGGAAAGAAAGAUGUGAAAUCCCAGAGCUUAACUUUGGAACUGCAUUUUUAACUACCGGGCUAGAGUGUGUCAGAGGGAGGUGGAAUUCCGCGUGUAGCAGUGAAAUGCGUAGAUAUGCGGAGGAACACCGAUGGCGAAGGCAGCCUCCUGGGAUAACACUGACGCUCAUGCACGAAAGCGUGGGGAGCAAACAGGAUUAGAUACCCUGGUAGUCCACGCCCUAAACGAUGUCAACUAGCUGUUGGGGCCUUCGGGCCUUGGUAGCGCAGCUAACGCGUGAAGUUGACCGCCUGGGGAGUACGGUCGCAAGAUUAAAACUCAAAGGAAUU